rnacentral:lncRNA from 1 species
ACUCCAUCAUCCUCCCAUAAAGGACCCUGUUGAAGAUAAUGAAUGGAACGCAUCAGAAAGCAAAGCGAGUCAUCUUAAUUUUUUGCAAGUACAACGGUAAAAAUUCUACUGAAACCACUAGUUAAUUUCAAAAUUUUCUCAUUUUUAUUUAAACUUUUUUUUUUCAUUAUGCGCUUAAUUUUAUUCUAAUUAACUUAGUUGUAGUGUAUAUACUUCGUGUAUAUAUAUAUAAAGAACAAAACCUUAAAGCGAAAUGCUGAUCCAAUUGAUAUAUACCAAAUAUGCAUCUUUCAAAACUCUUAAAUAGAAAAUGAGCCCAAAUUAUUUGAUAAGACGUAUCAAAUGGGGGUAAUAAUAUAUUUGCUUACAAUUUUAGAAAUUUCUCUUUUUUUUAUGUUUUGAUUAUUCACUAUUUUAUUCUAAUUUACUUACUUGUAGUGUAUAUACUGAACUUUCAAAAUCAAUCACUGAAUCCAUGUAUAACAGAAUAAUAUAAUUUUUUAUGUGUAGAAUUAUGACAAUAUAAGGAAUUAAAGCUAAGUAAUCGAUUUUAGAAGUAUAUGCAAAAGCAUUAUAAUUGUGUAUAGGACUUCUAUUAUAUAGUGAUCAUCCCAAAUUAAAUCAUAUUAUUUUGUGUCAUAUCAAUUUACUCGUACUAAAUAUAUUAUUGUUGUAAUUACAUCAUGUUUGUGUAUUGGUAAACACACGGUCUUAACACGUGUAUUAUCAGAAGAGGACAAUAGUUGGAAUGUAGAUCAAGAAGUUAGAAACUCGACAGAUAAAAGACUCAUCGGAAGAUCAAAUUAAAUACCCGGCUAUUUUUCGGAUUGAUAUGUUCCUUUUAGCCUACAAUUACAAAUUUAAUUGUUUUAUCCUAAUAAAUUUUCUAUUAUUAAUUAAUGCAUUGAUAAUGAUUGGACCUUGAAUUAGAUUGGAGAGCCCGAUAGAAAAUCUAAAUAGUUGUGAAAGGAGGCGCCUUCUAUUUCAUCUGCUAUUUUUUAGGAAUAAUUUUCUUUUUGAGUAUAUCGAGAGAAAAAGAUUUCUUUUCUAAAACUUCAAGUUGAUUUAAAAAUUUCUUAUUCAGUUUAUUACUUUUUUCUUUGUUGGUAGAAAUUUGCUUGUCCAUGCGUAAAAUCGAAAUUAUUGAUAUGGGUCUUUCCCACAAAAAAGGGGAAUCUUGUGUUCCAAUAGAAGCAGAAGUGACGUGAAUUAUUCAAGAAUCGAAGUCAAUUUGCUUUAAAUAAAGAAGAUAUCAAUGAACUCUAUGAAAUAGUUUUACAGGAUUCAGCCAAUUGUCCUGAUCGUGGAAUAUCGUUCAGAAAUAAGAAUCCGGAUUAUAAAAGGAUUUCCUGAAAAUUAUUUUUAGUAUAGAAUGAGUCAAUUACCCCCGCUCAACGAUUAGGAUUUUUCUUAAUCUAUUUUUUCCUCUUCUUCCAUUUUCUUCUUUCCCCUCUUUCCUCUUCUUAAUAAGUAUUCACUUCCAUUGAUGCUUUUGAUUGCAAGUUAAGGUGUAGAUACUCAAGAUUUAGCUAUAAUUUUGGUGGUUGUAAGAAUUUAGAAGCAGCAAAUAAAUGUGGAGUAUUGAGAUGGGUAUAAUUUUCAAAGAUUUGUGUUGAGAAAGUUUGAGCGGAUGACGAGAUUAACUGUGAGGAUUGCAUUGUAAAGGAGUUGGAAAGUAGGCAUAUUCCUACUUACUGCUAACAAACUUCUGCAGUAAAAAACCCAUUUUCAUAAAAAAUUUGGGGGAAGAUGUGUUAUUUUGGUUUUGAUGGAGUGCGUGAAAUGGUAAUAGGUAAUGAUGUCCAUCUCAUUGAAGAAGUAUUAGGUGAUGAUGUCCAUCUCAUUGAAGAAGCAUUAGGCAUGUNNNNNNNNNNNNNNNNNNNNNNNNNAAUAAUAGGUGGACCGUGGAGGAAGAUUGAGGGACGAUAUUGGCUUCCAAGAAGAAUGGGUCAGAUCUUUUUUGGUCUGGUGGGGGCUCUGUUGCCAUAAGGUUAACGGUGGUUUGUUCUCAUGUUAGCGGCGGCUGCUGGUUUUUGGUGGUGUACAGCGAUGAGUGAAGAUGGAUGGCGGAGUAGCGGUGGUGGAUUCCGCCGGUAAAGAAGCGGUGCUGGUUUUUGGUGAUGUCUAUUUCUUAAUAUUUUUUGUGCAAAGAAAUAGACACACAGUUUAUAUAAAACAGUUUGUCUGAAUCUUUACUCUCGAGUCUUGCAGGUAUUAUUUUUAAUAUAUGAAGCCGAUAAGAAUCAGAAAAUAUAUACAUGUAAAAUUAAGUUGUGCAAGCUGAAAUAGAGAGACAAGUGUUAACAUAAUAGGGAGUGUUUCUUAUUUAUUUUUCAUCAUUAUUCUAAAAAAUGAAUUGCUCAUUAUUAUUAUUAUUACAACAAGCUCAUCUAUUUUUGGUUUGUGAUAUACAGAAGAAGAAAAGUAGCUGCUUUUGAGUUUCAGGCAUACCGGCGUCGCUUCCGAGGCGCCUAUUUUAGGCAGUUCAUUAAAUGCUUUGGGCUGAAAAG